rnacentral:rRNA from 1 species
CCGGCGCACGGGUGAGUAACGCGUAUGCGACCUGCCCGUUGCAGGGGGGAUAAUCGGGAGAAAUCCCGUCUAAUACCGCGUAACGCCGCGGGGCUGCAUGGCCCUGCGGCCAAAGGGAGCGAUUCCGGCAACGGAUGGGCAUGCGUGACAUUAGCUAGUUGGCGGGGCAACGGCCCACCAAGGCGACGAUGUCUAGGGGUUCUGAGAGGAAGGCCCCCCACACUGGGACUGAGACACGGCCCAGACUCCUACGGGAGGCAGCAG